UUUCGUGCAGAUUUGAAAUAAAUGUAGCCAAUCGGAAAGCAGUUAAGGUCUAACCGCGAAACGAAUCAUUGCGCAUUGUAAUGCGCAUGGCGUAUUAGUCUACAGUCGAAAUUCAUAGCGACGAGUUGCGUUUUACCUGUGAAGUGUAUAAUUACAUAAAAUUUUCGUUAAUAAGGUAUUGUGUUGGCCUUAAUUGUAGAUUAUUAAGUUUUAUUUAAUCAAUACGUGUUUGUUUAACCAUUAUUAUAUCAAAAUUGAAUAGUAUUUAGACUUUUAUCGUCUUUCUAAACUUUAUCGUUCGAUCGAAGUUUCGAUGAUUUCGAAAGCAUAAUAAUUUUCGCAGAUGCCAUGAUAAUUAAGAAAUAAUCCGAAGAAUUCAUUCGAACGAGGAUAGAAGAUUGAAAACAUUUCUUAUCAUUCAACUUUUCCAAGAAUUGAUGAUUUGUUGUUGUGCCACGCUCGACAUGUUUCAACCUGUCGAAUUGUCGAGCAUUCCCCUCUCCUUUCUUAUUCUUAGUUUACGUUUCGAUAUAUCUACAUUCCGUUCUCGAAAUUCGUGACGAGUGGACGCUUCGCUUCAAUUCAGAAUCAGUGCAUUAAGAGAAUAAGGCUAUCACGCAAAGAGAUUUUUCUAUCUGAUGAUAUUCUUCUGGACUUCAGCAGCAGUUCUUCGCUUCGAAUGAUUUCUAUUAUAAUAAUAUUGAUAUCGAGAUGGUGGAAAAUGGAACUCUAAUGAAUAUUCCAAAAAUUAUAAAAUAUAUCGAUACAAAUUUUCAUGUAUUGUUGGUUUAAUAUCUUGUAGCCACGAUCAAUGACUGGAAUAUUAUUCGUGACUAUGCAUUCUCCGAAGGCUGUCUAUCCGAAUACAAACGACCAAGGUCAUGAAUCUACGAGAACGAUAUUUCUUCCAACAAAUCUAGAGCCUCGUAAAAAGUAUCGCAACACGCGCGUAUCUAUUACCAAUCGCCCUACUCUCCGACCAAAAUAAUCGAUAAGAGGUUCUCGAAACUGGUUGAUGCAUCGACCUUUUUUGCCGAAAGAGAAGGAAAAGAACCUUAUCGUUGGGGAAUAUCUCUUACGCUAUAUAUAAACUAUAUAUAUAAUACUCACCGUAAUAACGAAGAAAACAUUGGAAAAUCAAAAUUUCCAGUAAUACG